AACGAACGCUGGCGGCGCGUCUUAAGCAUGCAAGUCGAACGGUAACACGGGGCAACCUGGUGACGAGUGGCGAACGGGUGAGUAACGCGUAGGUGAUCUGCCUUUUGGUUGGGGAUAUACCGUGGAAACACGGGGCAAUACCGAAUAAGUUCCUCGGGUCUGGACCUGGGGAAGAAAGGGGCUACGGCCUCGCCGAAAGAUGAGCCUGCGUUUGAUUAGCUAGUUGGUGAGGUAAAGGCUCACCAAGGCGACGAUCAAUAGCCGGCCUGAGAGGGUGGUCGGCCACACUGGUACGGAGAUACGGCCCAGACUCCUACGGGAGGCAGCAGCUAAGAAUCUUCCGCAAUGGACGAAAGUCUGACGGAGCGACGCCGCGUGGGUGAUGAAGGCGGAAACGUUGUAAAGCCCUUUUGUAGACGAGGAAUAAGGCUGGGAGGGAAUGCCCGGUCGGUGACGGUAGUCUGCGAAUAAGCCCCGGCUAAUUACGUGCCAGCCGCCGCCGUAA
rnacentral:rRNA from 1 species